UUAUUUCUGCUGAAUAAAAUAAAUCCCACUAAUUAACAUGUUAACAUGAUUGAUGGGCUCUGAUUUUGCAGGGAGCAGAGAACGUCUGCGCUCGAGCCGCCCUGCAGCCGACUUCACAUAGACCAUAGGAGAAAAAGAAAAUCAAGUCUUUGGGAAAGAAGAGGAAAUGGAAAUAUGAAACAUGUCACACAAAGAUCUCUCUGUAUGUAUUCCAUCUUAUGGUGUGGCUGGAUAAUACCUGGCAUUCACAACAUGCAUCACAAAUGAUGUGAAACACAGUCUCUAAGGUUGAUGUCCUGCUUGAAGGUGAACCUCCUCCCCAAUCUCAAGUAAUUUCCAGCCUAUAACAGGCUUUCUUCUGGACCUGCCCUGUCUUUAGCUUCAUCCGUCUUCCUAGCAGUUCUGGCCAGCUUCCCUGUCCCCGUUGAAGAUAAGUCUUUCCUGACACUGCCACCACCAUGUAUUACCUGUAGAGUUAAGCGUCAUGAACUGUAUUAGAUUUUCAACAAAUAUAGUGUCUUUGCUAUGUCCCCUACAUGGGUUGUGGCAAACUUAAAAAAAGGCCUUCUUAUAGCUUUCUUUAACAAAUGCUUUCUUUUUACCAUUCCAUAAAGGGCCAGAUUUGCAAUAGUUUUCCUAUCAACAGAUUUUCCUCCCUGAAGCUCCUCCAGAGUUAUCUUGGGCCUCUUGGUUGGCUCUAUGAAUAAUGCUCUCCAUGCCAAGCUAACUAGUUUAGAUGGGUGGCCAUCUUUUGAUAGGUUGGCACUUGUGCCAUAGUCUAUCAAUUUUUAAUGCAGGAUUAAACAGUGCCCUAAGAUGUCCAAAGCAAGUGAUAUUGUUUAAUAACUUAAGUCUGCUUCUCUACAACUUUAUUGCUGAUCUGUCUGAUGUGUUUGUUAGACUCUGUGCUGCUCAACAGUGUUUUUGAACAAACACAGAUGAAGCCCAUUAAACUAAUUAGGUUUACCUCUGAAGGCUAUUAGCUGGGCAGGAUUUUUUAUGGAUAAUCAGAGUAACGGAGGCAGCAUGCAAAUUCCUGCCACACCUUUCAGCCUUAUAUUUGAAAAACAAGCUGUCAUUUUUCUUUAACUUCACAGUCAUACAAUACUUUGUGUUUGCUUGUCACAUAAACAGAGUAACUAGAAUAGAUAGCUUGUGGUUAUCAUGUGACACAAUGGGGAAGAGUUCCAGGAGUUUCACACCUGCAAGGCACUGUAUGUCUUCAAGUAGCACAUGUGUAUUAAAGAGUAAUAUAGAGAUGAAAAGAUACAAGUAUUUUAUAAAGAAUUUCCUAACUUUCUGUGGAAAGGUGUAGCAGCAUUUCUGCACACUGCUAUAAGUUAUGUUAGGGUUUCUAUUAAUAAAUUCACAUCAAGAUUACUUUGAGACUGUUCACACAAAAGCUGUCAUUGGGCCCUCAGUCUGUCUACCACCUUAACCAGGGAGAGGAACAACAGCUGGUCCUCUCAGCAGCUCCUUUCCAUUUCAACUUGAACAUUUAUCAUUCCACUUGCCCUUUGUUCCCUUUUUAAAUCUUUGUAUUUGUUUGCUCUUCUCAGUUUUACCACCUUAGUCUGGAGCCUUGCAAGCGGCAAACGUUGAAGUGAAUACGGAGGUUCCAAGCCUAGUAUUCCAUACGCACUUUUUUGCUUGCAGGCGUCAUUUUGUUCAAGAGCAAGCAACAAAUAUUGUUUUACAUUUACUUAAGCUGGAAAAUUGGACAUAUUCUUAUUCCCUGAAACAGUAACUGUC